CCCACAAUCCCUUGCUUUCCCUUGCCCUCUCUAGACUCAACUUUUCUCAGUUGUGUGGUGCUGAUUACACCUGAGGACUCAAGAGGAAACAGGCAGAAGGGCAAGAGACUCUGUUCCUCCGUGUGGGCAGAAUUCCAGGGUACACCCGUUCCGGGGCAUCAGGUCCCUCAAAUGGGGGAGGGCACUGAAGAGAAGAGAGAUGUCGGAACGGGAGGGUCUGUGUUUUCCCGACAGGACUUGCUUCUUGUCCUCCAAACCUCUGUACUGGCCUGAGAGCUGUCACCCAGAGCAGGGAUGGGCAUCUGUGUUCUGUUACAAGCUCCCCAGCAGAGGCUGGGUGUGGGGUGCUGGAGAGAAGGCAAGGAAGUCAAGAGUACACGCAAAGCCUGAGGAACAGAGUUCAGAUCUCAGCACCCGAUUGAAGCUGGGAGUGGUCUCCCCAAACGCCUGAACCCCGAGCCUGAGGAAAGUGGAGACCAGAGGACUGCUGGGGCUUGCUGGCUGUGCCAGCCUAGGGGAUAAAACAUGAACUCCAGUUUCAGUGAGAGACCCUGCCUCAAAGUAACAAGGCAGAGAGCGAUCGAGGAUGCCCAGUGCCCUCCUCUGGCCUUAGGGAAUGUCCCCUUUCAGGUUGUGGGAAGGCUGCACAGAUACCAACUCCUUCAUUAGGUAAACACCUGUUCUCUCCCAUUUCACAGGAUAAAAGACCGAGGUUGGGAGCA